rnacentral:rRNA from 1 species
ACGCUCGACACCUACGGGAGGCAGCAGUUAGGAAUAUUGGGCAAUGGAGGAAACUCUGACCCAGCAACGCCGCGUGAAGGAAGAAGGUUUCGGAUUGUAAACUUCUGAUUCUAGGGGAAGAAGGAAGUGACGGUACCCUAGGAGAAAGCCACGGCUAACUACGUACCAGCAGCCGCGGUAAUCUGAGCGGGCUGGCAAGGC